rnacentral:rRNA from 1 species
UAUCUCUGUAGAGUCUGCAUAUCAAUAAGCGGAGGAAAAGAAACUAACUAGGAUUCCCUUAGUAACGGCGAGUGAAGCGGGAAGAGCUCAAAUUUGAAAUCUUCAAGGUUCUACCUUGACGAAUUGUAGUUUAAAGAAGUGUUUUCUGUUGGAGUUUUGGUAAAAGUUCUUUGGAAUAGGACAUCAUAGAGGGUGAGAAUCCCGUAUUUGACCAUUAUUUCCAGCUUUGUGAUACACUUUCAAAGAGUCGGAUUGUUUGGGAAUGCAGUCCAAAAUGGGUGGUAAAUUUCAUCUAAAGCUAAAUAUUGGCGAGAGACCGAUAGCGAACAAGUACCGUGAGGGAAAGAUGAAAAGAACUUUGAAAAGAGAGUUAAACAGUACGUGAAAUUGUCAAAAGGGAAGCGUUUGACACCAGUAUUGUUUUCUCGAAAAUCAAUUAAAAUGGCGGGAUUUUGUGUUGUAUUGACUUUAUCAGCUUUCUGCACUUUUUUCCUGUCUUUUUUAAUGCACUUUUCGUUUAACAAGUCAACAUCAAUUUCUUUUGUUGUAAAAGGGUCAUUGGAAGGUGGCUUUCUUUUCGGAGAAAGUGUUUAUAGCCUUUGACUUCUGCAGUCGGAGAGAUUGAGGUCUGCAGCGUAGAUCCUUCGGGGUUAGAUACAUUUGUGCUAAGCUAUAGCCUUUCAUAGACAACUUGUUGACUAUGAUCAGUCAUGUAGCUUACUCGCUUAUGCUAUUUUACCUACGCUUAGGAUGUUGAUCUCUCACAGUCGAGC